UGCUUAACACAUGCAAGUCGAACGGCAGCAUUUUCUAGCUUGCUAGGAAGAUGGCGAGUGGCGAACGGGUGAGUAACGCGUAGGAAUAUGCCUUAAAGAGGGGGAUAACCUGGGGAAACUCAGGCUAAUACCGCAUAAUUUCUUAGGAGAAAAGCUGGGGACCUUUGGGCCUGGCGCUUUAAGAUUAGCCUGCGUCCGAUUAGCUAGUUGGUGGGGUAAGGGCCUACCAAGGCGACGAUCGGUAGCUGGUCUGAGAGGAUGAUCAGCCACACUGGGACUGAGACACGGCCCAGACUCCUACGGGAGGCAGCAGUGGGGAAUAUUGGACAAUGGGGGGAACCCUGAUCCAGCAAUGCCGCGUGUGUGAAGAAGGCCUGAGGGUUGUAAAGCACUUUCAGUGGGGAGGAGAUUGAGUUAGGUUAAGAGCUAGACUUGAGGACGUUACCCACAGAAGAAGCACCGGCUAACUCCGUGCCAGCAGCCGCGGUAAUACGGAGGGUGCGAGCGUUAAUCGGAAUUACUGGG
rnacentral:rRNA from 1 species